GAUGUUUUAGCAAGUGGCGUGUCUUCACUCAAUAAACUGAAGAGAAGGGGAGAGUGUGCGCGUUUGAGAGAGAGUGACGCCUCCACAGCAACGGCCAAACAGGAUGUGUUUCUUCGAGACGGGUAAAAAAAAAACCCUGCAGGCGCCGAGGACGAGAGUCUACGAGACAUUACAGAAGUAAUAACAAUAGACAAAAAAUAGAAACACGGAGUUACUGAAAAGCAAGAUUCUCUCGCUAUCGCCACGGAAGCAGAGCUCUCGUGCUGUUCCUCUCGGUUCGAGAUGUGCAACAGCGCAAUCCCUUUCAGCCGACUGGAAGACUUAACCAAUUCAAGAGAGUAAUUCUUUAAAGGUAAAUAUUUUUGCAGGAACCCACACAGCUACAUUUCAACAAUUCUAACGUUGUUUGCCUGUAAGAUUCGCCCAAGCUAAACCAAGGCAUUGCCUCCAUACGUACAUUCCAUGUAGUCAGUGUUCAUUAAUCUCCCCUGAACACAGCAUUAUGUGGAAAAACAAGCUUUUCCACACUGAUGUCAUGCUAAUUAAUGCCAGUGGCCGGUGGCUGCAUGAGCUGAGCUGAGCUGAGCUCAACCACACUGCCGUGCCAAGCAUGCCGACGCAGUCAGCCAAUCAGAGAGGAGAAAAACGCUUUCUCCAGCCAACCAGUCAGAGUCGGGGAAGCGGUAAGCGAAGCCAGGAUGCUUUGCAGACUUUCCUCUCAGAAAGUGUGUCUCCAUCCAGAUGUUCUGCAAAAUUUUAAGCUAAUUGUGCAUUUUGUUCAUAGACGUGAUCGACAACUUCUAUCACAUCAGAAUACUCAAAAGAUGAUUGAAAAAGCACAGUGUAAUAAAAAGUUGUUGCUCUUUUAUUAGAUCUUUUUUUUUUCUUGUUUGCUUCUAGCACAUUUUCUUGCAUUUAUCUACCAGAUUUGUAAUAAAUAUGUUAUUUCUAUCCAGGCCAUACAUUGCUCAAGCUCAAAAUUCACAUUUAACUGAACUGGCAUUUCAAGUCAUUUAGAAAAUCUAAUUUGAAGCUACACACGUCUGUACUGGAGGUACUGGAACCUGCUUUAUAUUUUUCCUCUGGCUUUCCGAAAACUCAAUUCAGCUCCAUUUUUAUGAAUCUUAAUUUGCCAGGAAAGAAACCAGGACAUGACUAAAAAUCCACAUAAAUUAGCAAUAAUUAAAUUACUAUGUUCCUGUCUGGUCUCUAGGUCUAAAUAUUAAAGUAAUUGUGAAUUUUAUUACUCUUAUUUGUUUAACUCUUGUUUUCUUAGGUAAAAAUUGCAAUGAAUACAAACGGUGGGUACUGAUGACUUGUUCAACUGACACAAAAAGUGUAAUUAGAUUUUAAUCAUGGGCAUUACAUCGCUUGUAGGGUGGGUAAAAAGGGGCCAAGCACCAAGUGUCAGUGUUGUUUCUCUACUGUGUAGCUCUUAGAAAUGAGUAACGUGAAAUCACAUAUUGUGAAGCACGUUUGAAAAACAUGAAUGAAUCUGUGCAAAAUCUAAAGAAAACAAACAAUAAAAUGAGGGAAUUUUUUUUUUUUGGUUAUUGUACACCUGUACAGUUACAUUUUGUGAAAAAAAAAAAGAAAGAAAUCCAAACAGAACUGAAUGGAAAAAAAAGUUUAUU